CCUACGGGAGGCAGCAGUGAGGAAUAUUGGUCAAUGGGCGCGAGCCUGAACCAGCCAAGCCGCGUGAAGGAAGAAGGCACUACGGGUUGUAAACUUCUUUUAUAAAGGAAUAAAGUGAGGCACUAGUGCCUUUAUGUAUGUACUUUAUGAAAAAGGAUCGGCUAACUCCGUGCCAGCAGCCGCGGUAAUACGGAGGAUCCGAGCGUUAUCCGGAUUUAUUGGGUUUAAAGGGAGCGUAGAUGGGUUGUUAAGUCAGUUGUGAAAGUUUGGGGCUCAACCGUAAAAUUGCAAUUGAUACUGGCAGGCUUGAGUUCAGUAGAGGGAGGCGGAAUGCGUGGUGUAGCGGUGAAAUGCUUAGAUAUCACGAAGAACUCCGAUUGCGAAGGCAGCCUAC
rnacentral:rRNA from 1 species